GGGUCCGUAGCUCAGCCUGGCAGAGCGCUCGGCUCUUAACCGAGGUGUCGAGGGUUCGAAUCCCUCCGGGCCCG
rnacentral:tRNA from 4 species